UACGUAGGGUGCGAGCGUUAAUCGGAAUUACUGGGCGUAAAGGGUGCGCAGGCGGUUAUAUAAGACAGAUGUGAAAUCCCCGGGCUCAACCUGGGAACUGCGUUUGUGACUGUAUGACUAGAGUACGGUAGAGAGGGGUGGAAUUCUGGUGUAGCAGUGAAAUGCGUAGAUAUCAGGAGGAACAUCGAUGGCGAAGGCAGCCCCUUGGACCUGUACUGACGCUCAUGCACGAAAGCGUGGGGAGCAAACAGG
rnacentral:rRNA from 1 species